GAAAGAGGCACGAAAGCUGGUGGAGACUGCUAACUCCCACCACUCUGGUUUAACUCCAGAGCUCAUUCG
rnacentral:tRNA from 1 species